UGGUAGGGGCUUCUUGUUGAUUCAUCUUCAGAGAAGAGCAACGGAACACUCUACUUACUAAAAAUGUAUGAACAAGGUAGCUACAUAGGGGGUUUAAUUUAAAGUUUGUAUGACAUGAUGCAUGUGUAAAUACAGAAUCAACCUUAGUUGAUUCAUCCUUCUAUACGUUGCACUCUUCCUAUCUGGUCUUUUAAGAUAAACUCUUCAGAAUACUUAGGUAAGAAAGGAAGAAAGUUUCUAGGUAAGAAUUUUAGAAAAUCCUUUUGAAGAUGCCUCAUAAUAUCUGCAAAGAAGGGCUACGCUCCGAUACCAGCUGUGACGGAACCUCCCAAGUAACUAGGCCCACCUACAGUUGUCCUUGUCCAACAGAUAUCAGACAACCCUGUAGAUGUUCCUGAAUCACUUGACAAGUUCGGUAUCUUCUUUCUUACCAUACCAGGAACAUUUCACCCGUCUUGCAGACAUUACAGAACAUCAGAGAUAUAGAUAUGCGGAAGCUAUUACAUAAACUUACAUUUAUUUAAAAGUAAGAUCAAGUUGUUUAUUACAGACCAGAACUAUACAACGAGUGCAGAGUAAUAUUAUUACACAUACCAAGGGAGGCAAAAACUCCUCCCGAUAGAUAUCUCACAAAAAGUCCUAAUGGAGGAUCCUUUCCUCCCGCACUUCACUCUUGCUUCUCUUCGUUAGGAACCACCUUGGAGCAAAAGCAACAAAAAUUUGUCGCUUCCUCACCUAAAAACAACGGAGGGAUAAACCCUGAGUAUGGAAUUACUCAGCAAGUCUUACCCGACUAAGGAAAAGACUCUCAAGGGUAUGCUGGAUAAAUAGGAAUCAAGGAGAGGCUUUAGCAAGAAUCAACUUAGAUACUUUUGCAGAAAUAGCUUACUAAAGUGAGUCCUUACUUUCAACAUUUUAACGCCAGAUUAAAUAUUAAUAGACUCUGUUUGCCUCUAGUCUAAUUUCAUCAUUUCAUCAAUACAACAUCAUUUUUAUUCACGAAGUUCACAUCCUGACUUAGGUUGUAGGGCAGUGAUCAAGUCUCCACUCUCCGGGGAUAUAACGGCGAUCCGAAUCGAUUUACUCAGCUGAGGAUCUCUAACCACACGACAUAUGUAGCACUUAAUCCUUGCAUAUGUCAACUCGACCCCAGGGUUCUUAAGACCAGAUCAGGUUCACGCAAACCGAGAGCACAGAUACACCACCGUCCAGCCUCUUGCCACGGAGGGUACACGCUACUCCCGCCACCGCUCCACGCCCAUUUCGUGUUAUCUUAUUCUGGCCUUAGUCUGCCCGAGGCAAAGCUUACCCUGUCCCAUUUCCAGGGUAUGCGGCUAGCUAAGAUAGUCCUUGCUCUAUCAAGCCUACAUACGCAUUCAAUCCUUAAUCAACCUGGGUAGAACAUCACCUGUUCCUAGCCCAAGUCUCGAUUUAAGUAUUUCCAUCCUUAGGAUUGUUUCUGUUCCUUAGGAUGAAAAGAGCAUCACAGGGAACUUUGCAGUAAGAUCCCACCAUGCUCCCAAUGAAAAUAUAUUCUUGCAGGUAGAAGUCAUCUUUCCUCAGGAUAACCCCUGAGCAAGGCCUUAACGCAAAAGACAACUUCCAUCCACAAGAUCUAAGAAGGGCUAAGCAUUUUUGUAAAUCAAAUUUUGAUACUUCCAAAGAAGUAUCUAUAACAGGUAUGGAUAUCAAGGAAGGCAAUGCAUCAAAGGGUUUCAAGCAACUCCUAUAAACUUAAUGCACAUUUCACUAGACUUAAAGUGUGCGAAAAGUAUUUAAAAACACAAGGAAGGGGUUGCAUACACCGGGGCUUGCCUUUGUUUAUAGAUGAGUUAGUCUCAGGCCCGCAGAUGUUAAAGUAGAGACGAGACCCUGCCUGAGACUCCAAAGGUGGUGUUGUCUUCUCUUCAGGGACUUCCACUUCUUCUUCGCGUUCUAAAUAUAACCAUAUAGGUAUAUAUAAGAAUGAAUGCCAUGUAAUGCAAACUCUUACAAGGAGAGGUGGAGAACAGAAACACUACAACUAAAGCACAUGACAAGAAUAUACCUAUUUCUUAUUGCUCGAUUAAAGUGACCAAUUUGAAAUCACUUAGGUAAACCAGGGAAUUAAUCCAACCAAGGUCUCAAUCAAAAGCUUGAAAACUCCUUAAGUAACUUCAUCCAAGGGUCAAGAUCUCACUAGAUCAACAUGCCUCUGCCCCAAAAGCACUUAAUUCCAUAUUUAAGCAAGGAUUUAAUAACUGUUUUUUUUAGACCUUGCCAGGCUUUCAGGUCAAAAGGCUUCCAAACAGCCGCAAAAUUUUACCAAGUGUUCCACUUCUGAUAAAAAGUCUCUUCCAGAAUUUCCAGAAUUUUUGGUGUUAUAAUUUUAUUUAUAAAAUCCAAACAGUCCUUACAAAGGCACCUUUAAAUCACUUAAUAAUUUCUAACUGUCCUAAAAAUCCAAUUAAUAUUUUUAUCAGAUAUAUAUUGAUUUUAGACAUUCACUAAAAUUGGUCCCAUGAUUUUUGGAUUUGUCUACAAUUUUUAACAAAUUUACAAAGCUCUACUGAAAAAGAAAAAAGAAAAGGUUGCAAUAGUGAUGGGUUGGUUCUGGCCCGGGACAGCCCAACGCAACAGGAAACCGGGUCGCGUGCCCACGCCCGCCCGCGCGCUCUGGCCAUUUUGCACAGAGACCCUCAGGGUUUCGGCUAAUCAGAACGGGCGUCAAUCACUAUUACCUUACGUCGCUGACCGUUUGCAAAAACGUCCUCUCAACUCUAUUUCUUCACCCGACACAUCCUUGACGGCGUCCGCGCUAGGAGCCGAGCUCCGGCGAGCAAGACCGGCCGGAGGGGGCCAAGACCGGCGCUCCCGAGCGGCGGACACAACCUUGGAUCUACCCCGACCGUUUCCCCUAAGUGAAUUGCACGGGUGGCGACCCACACCGCCCUGCCCACGGGAACAGCGGAGACAUCGGAUAAAACUGCGUGUUCCCAGAGAUUGGUGGCGGUAUAAUUCAAUUGGGUGGGUUGGUGAGCUUAAGGAGGAUCCAAGAAUGCUAGAACAAGCAGCAAAGGGACUUGAGCUCACCAAAACCGAGCUGGCCACGGUGAGGUCUUCUUUGUGGUGGCAGAAAGUUGAUUUGGGGGAAAACGACGAUUCUCCGGCUAGGGGGGCUAAUCGAGGGGGAGAGUGGGUGCUAUGGCUUCGUGGUAACUUGGCGCAACAUCCCCGGCCAUCAAUUUAUAGGAAGGUAAAGCGGUGGCCAGUGAUUUUGGGGAGGACGCGCGGCGGCCGGAAAUGAAGAAGAAGGCUCUGGCGCAUGACACAGGUGGCCAUUCACCGUGGCAGGUGCUCCGGUGGUCACCGGACAUGCACCACAUGAUUCACCGUGACGAGAGCCAGCGCUAAGGCACGUGGGGCGCAACGGUGACAGCACGACGGCGGCGAGGAUAUCCAACCGACGAUGAGCUGGGGGAUGAAGUACGGCAUGCUUAGCCGCAACCGAGCUCAAGUGGAUCAGACGCCAAGAUCUUUACUGGACUGUGCUUAUCCAUGGCCACGACGCACGAAUCACGGCAAGCACGAUCAACGGCGACGGUCCACCGGCGACGAGCAGGGGGGUGGAAUCGGGAUCUUAUUCAGUUUAACAUUCACUGUACCAUGGCAAUUGCAGGCAGCCGGUCUGACAGAGCACUUUGGAGCCCGAUUUUCUCUUAAUUUCAAAUGGCAACAUAAGUCAAGCUCUGCAACAAACCGGUAGAGCAUUAUACCAUCUACAAUGUUGCCAUAUGAUUCUGCCACAAAAACCCAUUGGAGCAUGCUUAAAUUUAGGCUUAAAGUUGAUGUCAGUUCAUUGCUAGUCUGAAAAUUCAGACCUUAGCAGCCUGACAGCCUGAUUUUGAGCAUGAUUAUCUUCAAUUUGUUCUUAACAACUAUGCUCACAACCUUAAGCAAAGUUGUUCUCCUUUGUUUGCUCUAUAACUUUGUUAUAGCAAUCCAAGGUAGAUUCCCACUGAAUCUUAGUCUAAAUGGCUCUCAAUCUUGGAUCACAAUCACUGUCCAUCUGAAGUUCAGUCUAUAUCAGCCUAACAGUCCAACUUUGGGCAAGAUUAUCUUCAAAUUUCUCACAAGAACAUGGCUUGCACUCUUAAGCAAACUUGUUAUCCAUUAAUAGGUCUACAAGUUUCAUGUGGUACCCCAGGGAAAAAACCCUAUAUUUUAAAAGUUGCAAGGCUCCAAAGUUGAGCUCAUCAAUCUGAAAUUCAGACUUAGCAUGAAAUCACCACUAGGGGCCUUUUUGCAAAUGAAUUCAAAUCUCAGGGUUUGGCUUCCAAAUUCACACCUUAGUGAAUCAAGUGACUUAAAAUACUUUAUUAACUUGGUUUUUGCACUUUAGUCCAAAUGUGCAUCAAUUUUGCACAUAAGUCCCUAGGGUUUGGACUUAGGGUUUUCCAGGGCUUCAUUUAGGGUUUCUGGUAGCUUAGGGGUAUAAAUGUGAUUCAAGUUUAUUAUUGGGGUCAUUUUAUGACUUUUCCCUAAAGCUUUUAGGUUUCCUCAACUUGGGUUAAGUUUUUACCCCUUUAAUCCCUAUUUAGGGCUAAGCACCUUAUUCCAGGGUCUUAUUUGCGAAACACUAAUACAACUUGCUUGAAAUUUUUACUUAGGGUUCCAAUAUUUGAGCACCUAUAACCUUUUGCUCUUUUCUCCAAUUUGCUCCACAACAUAAGGAAAUCUCCAAAUGGGAAAAAUGUUAGGCUCUCCAAACCCAAUCACUUUGAUAUAUGCACUUUUUCCAAAAGUAUGGCUAAAUCUCCAAAUCCACUUUUGGGGCUCAGGUUUAGGGUUUAGAGAUACUCAACCACCCUAAGUGCUUCACCACUUCUAAUGCUCAUACUGAAAACAAACUUCUCCAUCCUCCUAAAGCCAAGCUACUCUUUAACCUUAAAUCCAACUGUGGUAUAUAGAGCUCAUGUCCAAAGUGUGCUUGGUUUAGGGUUUACUUUGCUUACACACUAUUUCAAUCAAAGCUUUCAAACCUUACUGAAGGCUUUGAGGUGAUCCAUCUCCUCAAGUGUUACUUCCACUAGACUAACACUCCAAAACAAAUAAUUCCAGGUUCUUAAAGCUUUCCUUUAAUACUUAAGACUCCAAGUCAUCAUAUUACUUGCUCAAGAGAUGAUCUUUCCUUAUUUUGCUUAAACCCAGUCCUUAACUAAGUCCACUACUCAACACACAACAUCACACUUUUUACAAAGUUUUAACCUAAUAAAUGCAUUCUAGGUGUAUCAAGCACAUUAAUGCAGAUGCUUAUGAUGACAUGUUAGAGUUUUAGUUUACGUAACACCAGGGGUGUUACAGCCUUCCCCCCUAAAAGAAAUCUCGUCCCGAGAUUUAAAAGUCUAGGCUCAGUAACGGAAAAGGAAAUGUGUCACAAACUUAUUUCCCAAUUUCUCCUACCAAACAGGGGGUGUGCCACUGUUGGUUUAAAAUUCACAAACCCUAAGGUUUUCCAAAAACUCAAAACUUAGGGCAAGGACUUUGUCUUCUAAAUAUCCCUCUGACCAUCUACAUGGCUUCAUCUUCUGUGGGGUAGUUCCACUGUACUCCGUAAAACUUGAUAUCUUUCUGUGUUUUAUCCAAGAUGUUGCAUCUAAUUUGGAUAAAGUCUAUCCAUUUGUCCAAACUCACAUGGGAAAUCAGGUGAUACCAUUUCAUCACGAAACAUAAUUAGAAAUUAUGGUCUCAGCGUGUGCUAAGUCAUUUAUCCGCACACGUGCAUCCGCAUGGAAUAUCCAAAGGAAUAGCCAUCAUAACUCUUGAAGUUUGACAAACUACUAUAGAUAUUAAAAGUUGCCUCUGAAACAGGCAGUCGUUUCUUACACCAUAGUCAUAGAAAAGCUCACAUGUUACAUGAUCCAGGUGAAACAGGAAAACUCUUUCCAACAAAGUCUAACCUGUUUUUAUUACCAAGCUGGUCUAUCUUACACCUACCUUUCUUACAUUGAUCUAUUUCGCUAAACUCCCAGUUACCUACUACAUCUUCUCUAGCUACACCAUCUGCCAGAUGCUUGUUGCCAUCCUUCCAAGGAACCCUUAGUCCGCUGAUGCAGGAGUAGGAUAAAAGGCAACAUUGAGCCUAUGCACUGUUUGCAGCAGAUGGUUGACAAGCCGUUGUGCUACUUGAAAUUCCAUUGGAUGAGCACGAUUCAAUUCCUGGAUCGCCUGAUCCUGAUGGCUUAUGAAGCUUAGGGUUUCCUUAAGUCUUCGCUAACAGCAAUAGCAUCCAAGCGAAUUUCUUCUUGUUGCUGACUCAGAACUUUUGAUUUAGAAUGAGCAUUAGCUAGCUGAUGCUCAAGCUCCUUAAUGCGAUUCUGAUCAGCUUGGUGUUGCGUCUGAAGUCCUAUCACCUGAUGCUCUAGUCCAAUAAUCUGUUUCGCUUGAGCCUUUGUUUCCUCAAGUCGUUCUUGUGCCUGGGUACAAGCCCUAUUCUUGGCCAUUUCCAUCAUCUUAAAUGCUGCAUAACUCCCAGUGUACAACUGCUUCCACUUUUGACGACUGUGCCCUCGAGUAAGCUGCAACUCUAGCACGGCCAUCAAUACUCGAGCAGAUGCCGAUUCUACAGAAUCCUGCCCAAUAGGAAUGCUUUCCAAUAAUCGGGCCUGGUGAUGAUACACCAAUGGGUCACUUAAGGCAACUGCAGGGAACAACCUCAUAGAUGUGGCUUGUAUUUCUUCCCAUUUCUGGUAACAAAUGGUUGUUAGCGCCUCUAAGGCAGCUACCUGAGCACCUUCCCAAGGAGUCAUUCCUUCAGCAUGGAACAUCCAAUGUGGCCAAGAUGGCUUUCUAGCACGUUCUGGAAUACGCACUACCACCUCAUACCAUGGUUGUCCUCUAAGAACAGUGCGCGACCACUGGUACUUGGGUGUUUCGAUAUAUCCGACUUCUUGAAGUAGUCGCCACAGGACCACUGGAACACCAAAAUCUCGUAGAAACUCUCCAACUCUGGUAGGGGCUUCUUGUUGAUCCAUCUUCAGAGAAGAGCAACGGAACACUCUACUUACUAAAAAUGUAUGAACAAGGUAGCUACAUAGGGGGUUUAAUUUAAAGUUUGUAUGACAUGAUGCAUGUGUAAAUACAGAAUCAACCUUAGUUGAUUCAUCCUUCUAUACGUUGCACUCUUCCUAUCUGGUCUUUUAAGAUAAACUCUUCAGAAUACUUAGGUAAGAAAGGAAGAAAGUUUCUAGGUAAGAAUUUUAGAAAAUCCUUUUGAAGAUGCCUCAUAAUAUCUGCAAAGAAGGGCUACGCUCCGAUACCAGCUGUGACGGAACCUCCCAAGUAACUAGGCCCACC
rnacentral:lncRNA from 1 species